AGUGUGGGCUAAUAGAAUGCCAAAAUUGACUUAUGAUGAUUUGUAAUUCCUAACAAAUGUGAGCAGCUUUAGAACGGAGGAACUGACUAUUAGAGAUGGUCUAACGGGCCAAAAACGUAUAGUCUGCUUCUGCUAGCAGAAGACGUGGGACGACAAGAAAAAGAAAAGCAAAGCAAAACUCUAAACUCCGAAACAGAUUUUGUGUCAUCAACUCAUCAAUCAUCAUGAUCAAUUGCGGAUACAAAACACAUUUACGAUGGAACGUGGAACUAUAGAGGAUGAAACGAAGAAAACCUAAAACUGUAUCCACCUGCUAGUUAUAAUUUUCUAAACAACAGAUUAUGGAAAUCAACAGAAUAAGACGUCCGUGGAAGUCUAGAAAGGUUUGCUACCGACGAAAUUUAUAAACCAGUCUCAAGAUUGCAGACUCUGCUGUGUUCCGUUUUGAACGAGGUGCAGACAUGCGCGUGUAGUUAGCUAUACAAGUGAUCUAAGCCCUCCCUUCGAUUGGUGAACUCCGCGCAGUUCCCCAGGUCUAUAAAGAGACGAAAAACCCCUAUGCUUGUCAAUUUGUUAAUAAGACAUCGCUAUGAUGGGUGAUAUUCAGUGCCACUCAUCUCUUAAAUUUCUUGCGCGAGUGGGAUAGUCUUCCACUUAUUCAAGAAACAAAAGGAUUUGACAACUUUGGAGAUCGAAGCGAAGAUACAAGAUAGCUAUCGGAAAUAUUUCUUCAAUUUAACCGUUAUAUCUUGCGAUGUCGUAAAAUUCUGUCUUUGCAACCCCAUUUUCCACCCUACAAUUUUGCAACCGCUUCAUGGAGUUGCGAAAAGAGAGAUGCUCAAAAGGCAGUCUGGUGUCAGGUCUCUAGCAAGAAAAGAGAAGUGUCGUAAUCAGGUUUAAUAGCCUACUUAUUACGAAUCAGUUUGGAACACUGUGAUGAGUUAUUUACUGGCAGCAUUUGAGUCGAUUAAAAAUAGAUCACUGGAUCAAGUUAAGUGGAGAGGUCCCUUGUUUGUCCCUCAUCCCAUUGGGGAGUUUUCACAACAACAAGUACUGCAUGGACCCUGAAUGUUUGAAUAACCUCAAAGAAAUUAACGCCAAAUUAAGUUGUGAGGAACCCAAUACUCGCCCACUUCGACACGCUAUCGGCUUUUUCAACGUUCUCAACGAGGAUGUCAUUCCCAUCCUACUCAUACUCAGCAGCAAGGAUCAGCCCACCAUAUUCCCGAGCAUAUUCCGUACAACAAUCAAGU